CCUCUCGCGGCUUGUGUCUGUCCGGUUUCUCCCGUCCUCUCGACCCCCUGCCCGCUUGGCGCCAAGUUUCCCGUCGGAGCCCCUUCCCUCUGCCCUCGGUGGUGGUGGUGGUGGACGGGUGCCCGGGAACGCGGGCGCGGAGGUUAAAGCGUCUGCCUGCAAUGUGGGAGAACUGGGUUCGAUCCCUGGGUCAGGAAGAUCCCCUGGAGAAGGAAAUGGCGACGGAGGAGCUUGGUGGGCUACAGUCCACGGGUCGCAAAGAG
ensembl:lncRNA